AUACGGAGGGUGCAAGCGUUGUUCGGAUUUAUUGGGCGUAAAGCGCGUGUAGGCGGUCUCUUAAGUCUGAUGUGAAAGCCCUGGGCUCAACCCAGGAAGUGCAUUGGAUACUGGGAGACUUGAAUACGGGAGAGGGUAGUGGAAUUCCUAGUGUAGGAGUGAAAUCCGUAGAUAUUAGGAGGAACACCGGUGGCGAAGGCGGCUACCUGGACCGAUAUUGACGCUGAGACGCGAAAGCGUGGGGAGCAAACAGGA
rnacentral:rRNA from 1 species